GACGAACGCUGGCGGCGUGCUUAACACAUGCAAGUCGAACGAAAAGGCCCAGCUUGCUGGGUACUCGAGUGGCGAACGGGUGAGUAACACGCGGGUGAUCUGCCCUGCACUCUGGGAUAAGCCUGGUAAACUGGGUCUAAUACCGGAUAUGACCAACUGUCGCAUGGUGGUUGGUGGAAAGCUUUUGCGGUGUGGGAUGGGCCCGCGGCCUAUCAGCUUGUUGGUGGGGUAAUGGCCUACCAAGGCGACGACGGGUAGCCGACCUGAGAGGGUGAUCGGCCACACUGGGACUGAGACACGGCCCAGACUCCUACGGGAGGCAGCAGUGGGGAAUAUUGCACAAUGGGCGCAAGCCUGAUGCAGCGACGCCGCGUGAGGGAUGACGGCCUUCGGGUUGUAAACCUCUUUCACCAGGGACGAAGCGUGAGUGACGGUACCUGGAGAAGAAGCACCGGCCAACUACGUG
rnacentral:rRNA from 1 species